UCCCAAUUAGGGCGUAAAUGCCCCCUUCUAGCUCUAAAAGUUAGAAGGGGGACACUUAUCGUUGGGUG
rnacentral:tRNA from 1 species